AAGGAAGAGGGCAUCAUAUAAGUCCUAUCGAAGGAGUGCAGCAAGUUCUGAUUGCAAGAAAAAUGAAACGGAUAAUGUAAAUAGUUCAUGUAACGAUGAAGUCAAGGGCGAUGCAUUUAAGAAUGACCCAAGUACAUCUUCAGGACCAACACCCAGAUCAUCUAUUACUUUUUCAACUUCAAUUUUGGAGGAAAAUUUGGGAUCUUCUAAGCAAAAAAUUGUAAAUGCUGGCAGUGACAUGGAAGGUACUGCAGGUUGGAAG
rnacentral:misc_RNA from 1 species